rnacentral:snRNA from 1 species
AACUGGGUGGAGCUCUGCUAGUAAUUAACUGAGGUGCGAUUAUUGCUAGUUGAAAACUUUACCCAAUACCCUGCCUUGAUGACUUGAAAUAUAGUCAGCAAUGGCAAUUUUUGAUGGUCUCUAAGGAGA